rnacentral:lncRNA from 1 species
UCUUUCUUCUGUCGUGGUCGGGCUUGAGUCUUACUCAAAUUUUACACCUUUACAACACAACCAAGAACUCCUUCUUUGAUUGAUCUAUUUUGAACUCCUUCAAAAAUCUAGUCAUGGUAUGUAUUCAUUGAAAGUUUUUAUCAAGCGUCUUGAUCUAUUUCGAUAGAUCUUGGUGCUCGAUGUUCAAGUAGCUCAAUCCAGGUUUUUCUUUGAAAAAUUCCUUUCGAACAACCCUUUAUGCUUUCCAGAAAUCCUAAAUUAUUUCCAAUCAACAAUAUGUCAACCAUAUAUACUCAUCAGAAAUUCUAUAGUGCUCCCACUCACUUUCUUGGAAAUACAAGUUUCUCAUAAACUUUGUAUAAACCCAAAAACUUUGAUCAUCUCAUCAAAGCAUAUAUUUCAACUACGAGAUGCUUGCCCCAGUCCAUAGAAGGAUCGUUGGAGCUUGCGUACUUGUUAGCAUCCUUAGGGUCGACAAAACCUUCUGGUUGUAUCACAUACAUGUUG